CAGUCGCCGCGGGAAUACAGAGGGUGCGAGCGUUAAUCGGAUUUACUGGGCGUAAAGCGUGCGUAGGCGGCUAAUUGAGUCGGAUGUGAAAUCCCCGAGCUUAACUUGGGAAUUGCAUUCGAUACUGGUUAGCUAGAGUGUGGGAGAGGAUGGUAGAAUUCCAGGUGUAGCGGUGAAAUGCGUUGAGAUCUGGAGGAAUACCGAUGGCGAAGGCAGCCAUCUGGCCUAAUACUGACGCUGAGGUACGAAAGCAUGGGGAGCAAACAGGAUUAGAUACCCCCGUAGUCCCUGUCUCUUAUAC
rnacentral:rRNA from 1 species